CAUCGUCACAUCACAUUUCGUAUAUGAUAUCAUAUAUCAUAUAUGUUGCAUUAUUGUGUUAUUAAAAUAUUGAUGUAGCAGAAAACUACAAAAUAUUGUCUUAACAGUAAUAACUGACGAAAUCAGCGUGAAUCGAUUGCAACGAAAGUUUGAAAAUACCAUAGACUGUAAAAGGUUAAUACUAGAAUUAAUAUUAGAGCUAGAAAAUUAGUGAUUAUUCAACUAUUUAACAACGAAGGUAUUUUUUAUAGUGAUCGUCAGUUUGCAAGGCAAUACUAUGUAUCGAAUAUAUCGAAUCGAUUGAUAUCGAAUAUCUCAAGCAUGAAUCGAUAAUUUCAAUUUUAUUUUGCAUGCCGUUAUAUAUAUGAAUGAAAGGAAUUAGUUUAUAUAAUUUUGGACAGUUACCUUUCGAUUAACUCUAAGGAUAAAAAAUUUCUUCACAAUCUUGAACAUUGACAUAUACAAGCGUAGAAAUGGAACUGUCUUAAUGGUUCUGAGAAUUGCUUAUUGAUCUAUUGAAUUAUGUAAUCGAUAAGAGAUAAUCGAUUAUAUUAAUUUAUCGACAUCUUCCACUCUGGUAAGAUCGAAUUUUCAGCAACGAUUUCAAAUUAAAUUAAAACAAAUAUUGUAAUCGCUUCGUUUAGGUACUUCUCUCAUGAAAAUGUUCAUACUUCCAUAAUCCGUAACCAAAGAUGACACAAAUAUCCUUUGGCCAGAUGUCGACGCUUAAAACGAACAGAAAUGAUCGACGCAAAAGGGUAAUUCGUAAUAAUGCAUUGUUCUUUUUUUCCGCUUAUUUGUCUUCAUUUCAUUCGGUUCAUCGAAACAAUUAAACACCACCGUUUCCGUUCAACAAUACCCUUCCAUCUUUAAAAUUUGAAUACACGUUUAAAUACUGAACAAUUACCAUGUACACCUGACGCGUCUACUUUUUCAGAGAACAUCUUUAAUACACUGAAGAUUUUCCAGAUCCACUUGAACACCUUAUUUUUCUCUUUGAUUUUCUUUAAGCAAGAGUAAGGAAAAAAGGUCUAUAGAUGGAAGAAGAGAAAAAAGAGAAAUAUAACAUUGAGGAUAGAAAGAAGUGAAAGAAGAAGAGGAAAGAGAGGAGGUCGUAUUCGAUUCUUGAUCCACCGAUUACUAGUUAUUUUACUCUGUUUAAAAUCGGCAAUCCCAGCAAUAUGCAUAUAAGCUCAGCCCCUACUAACACAAGUUGGUGAUAGAGAUGGUAAACGCGCGAGCAGCCACAUAUUUCUACUUUGUUCUUGUUUCUUUUUUCAUUUUUUAGCCAAGCGUUGUAGUUGUAUUCCUGGCUGAUUAUCGCAUUACUUUAUUAUCUAUCACUACUACUUAUUACUACUAUCGUUAUCCACGUUAUUGACAAGAAAUCCGCUUACAGUGAUAGGGACCUAAGUUUAGUUUUAAAUCUUGAGAAGAGGUGAACAUGAAACUCACUGAUCUCAAAUUAUCUUCUUCUUUGGUUUCUUUUUAAAAUUUACCUUUGAAAUUAACCUUCUUACUUUUUUAGCGCUAAAUAUAUAUUCCGUGUAUUAUAUUUAUUUCUCAUUUAAAUGUAAGUUAAUAAAAAUACAAUAUACAUAUGAAAAUGCAAAGUAUACGUUAAGGGAUACACUUACCGGCUCGUGAAGAAGCUCGUGAUUCACUAAGGAAAAGCAGAAAAAAUAUGUUAGCAAAAAAGGUUGCUGAGUUCUUUAUAAAAUUGUAGAAACAUCUCUAGUAAUAUUGAACACAUUAUCUUUUGUUACAUUAAAUGAGAUAAUAUGGUAUUUCGCUGCAUAUCAAUUUCUCAUUUCUCUUUCGAGCACAAUCAAACAAAAUUUAUAAAAUGAUCUUUAAAAAGAAGAUAUUGGUAUCAAAAUAUAUUUUACAGGAAUAAAAAAGAUGAUGUUCAAAUACUUCUUUAAUUGAAGUUGAUAAAAAAAAUAAUGUAUAUAAUAAAAAAUAUAUGAAUGUUUAAAAUAUAGAAUGAGGAAUCAUAAUUUAUGAGCAGAGGUAAAAGCUCUAUUCGUAUUCGAUUAUAAAGACAAAACCAAAGGAAUGCACAUUUUUUAAUAUAUUUUACAAAACGUUCUAUUCGUACAGCAUAUAAAACAAUACUCUGUAUUUAUUUUAUAUUCACACAUUAGCUCUAUACGACUGUACCACCAUAUUCUUUCGUUAUAUGUAGAAUAUAACUUUAUACAAUAUUCGGCGCGAUUUUCAAAUGUCAGUACUAUGAAAGUGCGGUAUCUUUUUGUCGCGUGGUUC